rnacentral:lncRNA from 1 species
UAAUUAGUAAUAGCAGAAGAUAAAUUGGAGUUGGAAAUAAUUAUAGAUUCAUAUCUUCUACCAGUUGCUCACCCUCCUUCCACCACCGCCGCUGCCGCCCCUUUCUCGACUGCCGGAGCGCUGCUGCUGUUGGUCUUUUCCCUCAUCGCGGCCGCAAUUCACAACACCAUUUUCUUGUUUCUUGCACCUUCAGAACUUGCAAACCUGAGUUUUGGAUCUAAAUGGCGGAGAGGAUAGCAGAGACAAAGCGUCGGUGAAUAAGCCUAUUCCCGUGAUGACAAUGGCGCCGGCGAUGGUGAUGAUUUGUAGGAGUAGGCAGCUGAUUUGGGGCUUGGGUGAAGAAUGAGGGGUGCAAAUUAGGGUUUUUAAAAGAACUUUAUAAAUUACAAAUUGAUCCUUAAGAAAUUAGAUUAUUCAAAAUUAAACCCAGCUGAGUUUAU